rnacentral:tRNA from 1 species
UAAAAGAUAAGCUAAAUUAAGCUAUUGGGUUCAUACCUCAUUUAUAGAAAUAAAAAUUUUCUUCUUUUAA